CAGAAUAAACUAGAUCAGAGAAGUCUCUGUGGGGUGAGACCGUAAAACCCGUGAACUCAUGCACACGCCUGCGUAUCUCCAGGGGAGUCAGCUGGGCUGAUUUAAAGCGAAGACCACGACUUUGACCGUCAGCUAACGUCUCAUCUCUUCAAUAGAAAUUCAGUUUAUUCUAUCGAGUGCCAUAUGGAGCUCAGCCUCUAUUGGUCUGACCCGGUGAAGGAUGGAUAGAUAUGGAUUUGCACAGAUUGAUUUGUACAGUUGUGGUGUCUGCCCAUUGGCACGAAACGUUUUCAUUCGUCAGAUUUAAGCACAUAUGUUACAUAAAGUGACUAGAACUUGUGAGAUCAUUAGAGCCUGUGGUCUCAGACAUGAUCUGUUAGCACUUUGAACAUUUAUUUAUAUAAUAUAUAUAUUGUAGCUUAAUGUCUGGAUCCUUUGUUGGCAAAAAAUAAGUAAAAACUGUAUUGUAACUGGAAGACUGUAAAAAUGGAACUACUUCUUAACUAAUUAAUAAAUGUUUCUGCAAUUGAUUUUUUAUUUAUUGAAGUCCCAAUUUUUGUACAUUGCUGUGUAAUAAAAAAAAUUCAAAUUUAUCAGGUUAACAAAUUCAGCAGCAUGGACUUUAUUACAGGGGGAAAUGCUUUUCAAACUACCAUGGACCACACAAAACGACUUGGCGGGCCACAUCCGGUCCACGGGCCUUGAGUUUGACUCUGUGUCUAGACAAUGAGUGAGAAAUGAAUUAAAAAUGAGUGUUCAGCCAGAACUCCUCGGAGAAGACUCAGAGGAGGACAUAAAGUCCCAUCUCUUCCUGUUUCAUCAGCACAUCUAUCCCCUGUUCUGUUUCUGUUUAAUCCUCUGUUGAUGAAACACUGUCCUGGUGAUGACCUCUUUAUCAGGCCCUGCCCUCUACCUUCUUAAAAAAUGUAGGAUGAGGCCCCUGGGGUUUCUGGUUAUGCAGUCAUCCCCGAAAACUUAAAACUUCAAAUGAAAAAUGAUCUGUCUUAGUGCGAGUGUGCAGUGACAACACCUGAACUGGUUUAACAAGGUGUGUGUUUAGUCUCGGUGUAGUUAUGGGUCUUGUUGACAAAAGCUGUAAUACAUACAGUAUUGUGUAAUGAGUCAGAAUAACGCUGGAAGAUAUUGACAGUAUCGGAUGAUUCAAUAUUCUAAAAAAAUGUUGGCCUAACCUGCGUCAGAAGGUAACUUAGCAUAGCGUAGCUUGAGGCUAAAUGUCCUUAGAAAUCUACACAGUGGGUUUGCUCUGGUAAACUCUUACAAAGUAGAAGGUGGACAUGGAAAGCUAGCCUUUUGUGGCACACACUGCUAGCAUGUUUUAAUAGUGCAGGUUAUUUAAGUUUUGUUUUUUUUAAAGAGAAAAACAAAUAAAGAUAAGUAAAGAAAGAAUGUCUGGUGUGGCUAAUGGCUAAUGUAAAGCAAACGUAACUACAGUUACCAGCAAAAGUCAAGUGAAAAAUAAGCUAGCCAACAAUAAUGCAAAGAAUGUAUCUCAUCUCUAAAUUUCGUAUUAGCUUAUUCCAAAGAUAAAUAUGAUAAUUAGAAACCUCAAAAUUAAAAAAAAGAAAUGCUGAUUAAUCAAAGUAUUAGGAAUCAUAAAUAUGACUAUGAUUCUUACAUUGCUGCAACAUAAACUAACUGUAGGUAGAUGUAUGCGUUUCACAUCUUGUUUUAUUUAUGACAAAUCCAAAUGAUGAAAUUAUUAAUUAGGAAAAAUGUAAAAAAAAGAAGAAAAUAGAACCCUGAAUUGUCUGUUAUUUUUUUAAGAAAUAAAUUCAAACUAUUAUAUUAAAGUUAGACCAGAAAUCCACUAUGACCAGCCCUCUUUUUUAAAAAGUGAAUCUGCCCUGAACUUCAGACUAUCGUAGUGAGCUCUGUCUCACUAAAUCAACAGACGACUGGAGUGAGCAUGUGCAGGGUCCAAUGACCCCAGAUUAGAAACCGUGACCUUUAACCAACAAUCAACUGUCACGACUCUAAUAUGUAAUGACUGACAGGAAGCCACCUGCCAGGCCAGGGCACACACUGUAGUGAGGCUAGGACAGAGGAGACAUCAGUCAAGGUCCCCCGCAGAGAAGAAGGCGUGGGUUUACAGUCUGCUAACACCCAUUGUAUUCUGGUUCUUUACGGCCCUAAAUGAAGCAGUGUCACACUGGUGGCUGACAUGGAGAUGUCUGCAGGCAGAUACAAACACGCCACUGAGUAGCCACUGGCACCAGUUUAAAAAAGAAUGUUUGUUCCCAUGGGAGAUAAAUGUCAAAAAUGGUUCCAGCUGAUGGUAACUGUACAGGUUUAAGCUGUGGUGUUGAAUCUAAAAGCAAAAAACUAACUUACUAACUUUAAGCUACCUUAUGUUUUAUAAAACAUAUUCUAUAUUUUGGCUUGUUCUGAUUUUUUCUCUCCAAUGUUUUUUUUUUUUUUUUUUGCUCCUCCUGCCUAAGCAACAUUUGUUUUAAUAUUGUUCUGCUACGUACGGUUUAAAAAAAGCAUGUUGCUGACUAAUGUAAAAUGCUUAUUAAAUUAAAUAAUUACAUUUCUAAUGGUAAUGUGUUCUAAUGGUAACCAUAUGUCUUUUAUGUAAUCAAAUCACUUUACAUUAUUAUUAUUAUUAUUAUCAAAUAUGAUGCAGUGAAAAAAAAAAACGAUUGGGCAAAGCUGGAUUUAUUCCAUGCUGUCCUUCCUACAAACACACUGCCGACGACCUCCUCUGCCCUUGUAAAGCUCAUUAAGUUGCGGGCAAAUCAAAACGAAGUGAAAGUCUCAUCUGCUGUGACAGAUUACAACAGGCGCAGAGGCAGAAACGUGAUGCCACGUCUCUUCUUUGUUGAUUAAACAGGCCUGGUGACCAAUCCUCUUUGUUUUGAGUCAUGCCUCACUGCUACUUUUAUUCCGUUUGAAUCAAUAUGACCACCAUGGAGCUCUGAAACUGGAACAAGGGACUCCAGCUCCUGACCCUGACUGUGGAUGUGGUGUCAUGAUAGAGGAGGGGGGGAGGGGGGGGAGCAGGAGGAGGAGGGCAGCUUAGCGUCCAGUGACAUCAGAAAAAUCAGCCUCAGAUUGUGUCCGGCUCUCAGCUCCCUCACCCACCGCUGCUAAUCCUCUCCCCUCAUCACAGAUAUGGCUCCUGCUGCUGUCGCCGCUGUGACCGGGGUUAAGAUUGGUGACAGUUUCAGUGGGAAAAAAUGUUCAUAAGGAGAAGAAUAAAGGGACAAAGGAGUGGGUGCACUGAACGCAGCUGACCUUACAUCACUCUACCAGCCUGGAAAACUUCAAUUGUUAAAACGAAACAUCUGUAAUGGAACAUAUGGAACAAACUGAAAACUAAACUAUCAUGCUGUUUGAGUGCUUUUUAAGUUUAUCACAACUUUCAGUAAUUUAUAAACAACUCUCUUGAGAUCAUGGCUCAUCUCGACUUUUUAAAAAAUAUACAUUUAAAAAUAUUAUGCUGAGAAGUGAAAUGUUUGUGAAUUUUUUUUGCAAUAUCCACAAAAUAUUCAAGAAUAUUUGGGAGCAGAAUGCAAUUCAAUAAAUGGCAAGAAAAUUAUACUACAACAAAAGAACAUUAUACACACAUUUAUCUCUUACAUAGUCUGCGUAGUGGCCAACCGGGUAUUACACUGUAGAUGACAAGAAGAAUUUGUGAUGGAAUGUUAAUGGCUGUAUUGCCAUCAGGUCGCAUAGCCCGCUUGGGGUAUUCCCGAGGUGCAGAAAGGGCAUUUCAGUGCAUUAUCAGCUCACUGUGUACACUGUCAUCCGGCCACAAAUUACCCCACCCAGCCUCAAUAUUUAUAUAUCUCUUCCAACUGUUGAUACAUGAAACAUGUCCUCAAACAAAUGUGCCAACUUAUUUUGCUUUCAGCUGAACAAAAAAAAGGUCAAAACAAGUGUAAAUACAUAUAAAAGACAUUUAUUUAAACUAGCCUUAGAGACAACAGGAAACCUUUUGUUGUUAAUAGUAAAAUAAAAAAAAUAAAAAACGUUUUAUGUCGCUAAAGGUUAGCCAAACUUAAACAGACACAAUAGUCAAUAGUUAGUCAAAUGUAGCUCCAAAGCUCUAAAUGUUCCAAAGUUCCCAUUAAGAAACUAAGAAAGAGCAUAGCUAGCCAAACGAUAGCUAAGAUGGAACAUCAGGAUUGGCCUAAUCCAAAAUGUAAAUAAAAUUCAAGAUGUUUGCUAAGGAUGAUGCUGCCGGCCACGUAAAGACUGUACAUGUACUGUCACCUGAGCCACACUUUGAGUAUCCACAUGCAAACUCCAAGAGACAAAGACUACUUGGUUCCUCUGUGGUUUUCAUCAUUUUAAGACCAUUAGUUUUGGCCACUACAAACAUAAACAAGGUGAGGCAGGCAGACAGGUAAAAAAAAACACAUUUUCAUGGACCUGACGGAUGGCGUCACUGGGCAGAGUGAGUCAGACUGCUGACGGUGUCCACACACAGUGAAAAUAUCACUGGACCCUCUUCGCCCAGGCCCUGUGUGCUCGGUAGCAGCCGACAUGAUGUUCUUUUUGGGAGUGCAUGUUGACAUCCCCCAGCCUGCUAAUGUUUACCCACUAACACACACACACUCUGCAUCAAAGGUCGCUGUUUGAGGUCUAACACAGACCCGGACUGGACAGGGCGGGGACAGUUGGUAGGGCAGGGAUUAAUCGUGCACUCUAUAACCCUGACGGAGAUUAACGUAUACUUUAUCAACCAUUGGUACGCGUCCGACUGCAAUCCUUUCACAACGAUUUGAUAUUCUCAUGGACGUCCCCGUUCCAGUGGAUAUUCAUGGUCCACGUACACGCGAUCUCAGUCGACCUCGGAGACCAGGCAGAUUUCAAUGGGAGCCGGCCGGUACACGGGCCAAGAUAUCAACAGGCUGUGGUUCCAGCUGCAGCUGCAGGAGAUCAGUCUGCUUUACAGACAAGGAUACGGUGCUUCUACAAAGCUCCUCACCAUCUCCACCUGCCGAGGGUCCAGGUUGGGGGGUGCAGAAGACGGCACAGCGAAGUGAAUCUUCUUCCUCUCCUUGGGCUCCCCCUCCACCUCCGAUGACAUAAAUGGCUCCAUG